GGUGGUUAUCGGAUGACGCACCCUGGAAUCGGGCUCCCUCCUCUGGUUCUGGGGUGUGUCACCCGAGAACCACU
rfam:Myotis brandtii contig170042, whole genome shotgun sequence.